rnacentral:miRNA from 1 species
UAAGACAUGCUCAAGAGUG